rnacentral:piRNA from 1 species
UUUUGGAAAUUAUCGGACAUU